CUGUACAUCAGGCAUCUUCCAUAAUUUCCACCGCAGCACUUGCACAAAUUUAUUAAAAUAUAGGUACGGGCACAAAUAUCAAAAUAUGGGGAGUUUCUGAAUAUCACAUGUAAAUGUAAACCCAUAGAACUCCAGGGAAUUAUUUGUACAAAAUGCUGCGUUUAUUUAGUAAUGGCGAAAUCGGCCACUGCAUCACAUGGGUGAAGGUGGCGUUGUAUUGCAUCAGUGUCACCCCUCAAGAGUUCGACUGCAGCGCUGCUUGUACGGAUGAAUUAUAUCAUUUCUAGCCCGAGUUUUGUAAGAUUGCGUCUGAUGGAUUACUAGAACUCGUCCAAUUGCAGAAAGGGAGGGUACAUCAGAUUUCAGAAUGUUGGAAGGUGUUUUGCACUUGUUUGCUUUUCUUUUUUAGUUUAAAAUUCUAUGACUCAUUGGUCAAAAGCGUUUAAUUGUAUUUGUAUGCCUGUGACAUAACUCUCAAUAUAGAGCUUCAGUCCAGUCAAUGUUUAAGCAUUAAAACACAGUUCACUAAUCAAUCUAGACUCAUUGGUCAAAAUGUCAUGAUUUCAAGUGCUUAAUUGGAUGCCUAUGACAUACCUCUUGAUAUAGAACUUAUGUAGAGCCUCAAAUCAAGUCAAAGUUUAAGCAUUAAACAACACACAGAUUGUUUUCAUUUUCGGGCUGCAGCCACAGCUAAACAACUUCGAUCUAAGAUGAUGCGAACCAGGGAGCAAAGGUCUCCUAAUAAUCAAUCCCUGUACUCUUGAGUGAAGUCUUGGAGCUUUAUAUCAUUCUACAAGGCCAUCUGAUCUUGUUUUAAUUUUGUAGACCCAUUUACAACAAACAAUAGAUUUCCCAUGUGGGAGUCAACCAAAUCCAAGUGUGAGUCUUACUUAAGUCUUGCAAUUCUUCUGUCAUUGCUUGCUGCCAAAUAGGAUUAGUACUGACUUCACGAUAUGUUUUGAGAUUCAUGAAAGGAUACUGUAGCAGAAAAACAGUGAUAAUCACAAACAUGAGAAGACAGUUGACUUGCUCGAGUAGAUUGACAUGGAAGUUGAAACUCAAUAGAGGAGUUAGAAUCUGCAUCCGAAUGAGAUACUUCUUGGGCAGUCACGGUAUGAUCUUCGGUAGAACAUGUAUCACAGCCGGAGAGAAAGGGGUCUAUAGGAGUAGGAUUUGGCAAUUCUUCACUACAUGAUGGUGGGAGUAAGUCUGUAAAUGGAUCAAGAAAGAAAGUUACAAUUGACAAGACACACAAUCAACUUUAAUGUCUGGGAUGGAUCUUAACAUACCUCUAGAAAUUAAUGGACAAAAUUUAGAUAACGGCACAUGUCCAAAACGAGAAUGUUAAGUUUCAGAUGACACUGAAAUAGCAAAAUGACUCAAUAUCGAUAAGAAAGACGUAAAGAAGCAAGUUUGAACAGAUGACCAACUUUAUAGUCGGUCCCAUGUAUCUGCCCUGUCUGCGAUUCCUGCACAUGACGAGAAAAGUGUAAGCUUGGGAUCCAGAAAUGUCUGAGGUAGAGAUAGGUUAGCGGUCGAGAUCUCUCUUAUAUGACUAACAUGAAUUUUAGAGUUAUUCGUAGUAUGAAUAGUAGGUGUGUGAGAGAUAAGUGUGUGCGGUUGGAACUUAGAAGAAUCAAAUGUGGUUACAACAAGUCAACAACCAUAAUCAAAGAACCAAGAUUUAGAUUUACCUGGAAUGACAGAGAGGGUAGGAUAGGAAGUACCGGACUUAUCUAGGGUUUUCUUGAUAGUGUUAAGGUAAACUUUGUUGAAAAGAGCUUUAAGCAUACGGAGCUCAGUACUAGUUUAUGAUGAAUCCUACUGACAUCAGUAAUGACAACUGCAGUCCUUAAACGAUUGGUUCUUAGGAUUUGAAAUUCUAACUAGCCAUGUGCCUUAACCUCUUUCGACAUUCAUCAAUAUGGUUACGUGGUAUAUAAUAGUGACAAGUGCCCUUGUGCUUUGUAGAUGUAGUAGCAUAACAGUGUUAGUAGAAUCUGAAUUCUGAAUUUCUGAUGAGAUCUCAUUGUGCUAAGGUAAGAGUUUUAAUUCAGCAACCAUGCGUCUCAAGUUUAGGAAAUGGAUCUCAAUGAGCAAAGAGGCUCGAACAGAGCUAGGGUCAUGAGAAAGUGAAUAACUCUCAACUUAUCUUUGUCGGUGGUAAAUUUAGUCGUGUCAGAUGUUUGAUCCCACAUUGGUUCAGAGUAUGCUAGCUGGUUCCAAAUAACAUGCAUCCGAGAGAGGAAAUCAUUUAUAGGUGUCCUGGUUCUUGCUUCAAGCUAUGUAGAUAGCCAUAGAGUUAAUACUGAUGUGAAAUAGAGUAUUGUUGAGCUUGUAAAUCCACACUUCUUUAGCAGUAUCAAAUCGUCCAACUGAAGUUUGAUAAAAGAAAUAUUAGUAUUUCAGAACCAAGUGAGAAUUUGAUGGUUCUUGAUAUCCCAUUCAUCCGGUCGAUCAUAAAACUGGUCCUCCAUUUCAUUCUUACACUUAAGCGGUGAAGUAAUUGUUUCAGUAAUAUAUCACCUUAAUUUGCGCCCUUUAAGAAAGCUAAACAUCUCUUGAGACCAUAUAAUGUAGUUGGUCCCAUCCAAAAAGUGUCAAUGGAGAGAGAGAGAGAGAUCUUAUUUAUCCAUGCAGGUGAAGAAAAUAGACGAUGAAAUGCAAAAACAUGUAAGAUCAGGUGCUACACGUUACAAAACUGUACUAUGCAAUCAGAACUAGGGAAAUCAAGGUUGGAAACAGAUUCAGAACCUUUGAAUACCUUAGGAACCGCUAUGAACUGUCAAAGAAUUGGAUUGUACGAAGUCAAACAGGUCGGUUAGAGUUUGCACACGUGGUGCUAACAUGGCAGACAGAAUAUAAACAGGUGCGUGAGGCAGUGAUAUUAGGUGCAGUUCAGACGAGAGGCGCAUGAGGGCACUUUAAGCUUCGUGUCGGAGGAUUUUGGUGGCAUUAGACUCGUGCUUUGACGUAGAGUUGAUAUAUGGCAGGAACUCAAAAAAUAGACAACAAAAGUAUAGUGGGGGAUUUAUGGUUCAGACAAGUAUUGGUGAUGUAACUAGGAGCCAAUAGUAACCAUAAAAUUUUUCCCUGCAACAACUGUGGCUCUUUUACCAUGUUUUAGGACAAAGAAAAAGAGAUAAAACUAUACCAGUGUUGAGUAUUCACUACAAUGAAAAGUGUCCUAUAUAUAGGAGAAUUACAACUAUGUAUGUGUAAAGUUACAGCUGAGGAACGAUGCUACCAUAUUUACAUAAUUCUUAACAGUUUUAACAAUGGAAGAGUGUAUUUGAUUUAUUUUAACAUGUAUGUGUGAACGCUUACGGUGUUAAUUGUGUGUUUUGAGUUUAUGGUUGUUUUAGGUGGGAGGGGGGUGGGGUGGUUCCUGGGAAGAAGUUUACGUUGUUAAUCACACUCUGAGAAAUGCAGCAAUAAAUUUAAAGUCAAAUAUUAUUUAACUGUGAAGAAAUCUUGUGCUAGAGCCCUUCAACCUCAACUAAUAUUAGAUUCAAAAAGUUAUGCACGCACGCACAACUCAUUAGGUUACAAUGCUCUAAAUGUGGCAGACCCUUCAUUCAUUAUCUCAGUGAUUUUUUCUUCCCUAACCAAAUGAGAGAAUUCAGCUUCUGAAGUUGAAUAUAAACUUUCUUCCUUGAUGUAAAAUAAUAAUUUCCUCUCAGCUCCAGCUGAAGCCAUUUAAAUCGAAUUGCUUGCAACUUGAAGCAGGAUCAUUUUUGUCAUCCAUGUUUAGAUCCAGUUCUGUUGUAAAGUAAGGUAGUUUUGUCUUCUGCUUCUCUGGUCUAUGAGCAUCUCGGCCUAAAUAUUUAGCAUCUGCAUCAGCUUCUCUAUGUCUUUCCCCUGAACAGCUACUACUGCCAUUCCAUAGUCCUCUCUGAGGUCCAAUGGCCAUCGACAAAUUUCUGGAGUUCUCUUCUGUAGCAAAUGCUUUUUCUACAUUGUCAUUUGUUGCACAAAGAAAUCUGCUGCUCACUUUCAGGUCUUCGCACAGUUUGAGUUCAGUCUUCUGCACCCUGAGUUCAUUGUCAAUAAUCCUCGACUCUAUAGGUUCUCGAAAAUUCAAAGUUUUCAAUCCUAUUUGGUUAUUGUACAAUUCUUGGUCCCUGAGAGAACCUUCACAGGAGGUUAAGCAGCUGUCUGUUGAACAAUCCGUUGGCUGAGUUGUUUUUAUUUGCUGUAGGGACAAAUCCGACACUUCUUUCAUCCCUGAAAAUUCAGAAUUCAGGCAUUGGGUAGAUACUUUAGACACCAAAUCUGAUAUCUGAACCUUGGCUGCCUCCAAAUCAAUUGUCCCCAAGUUCUGUGUUCCUAGGGUUUCCUCUGCUUUCUCCAAUACGGACUGUAGAUAUUUACCUUGGGCCUCAAUCCGUAGCUGUAAAUGGCGCUGUACCUACACAUACAGAGUAAACUCUGUUUUCAGUGCAACAUAAAAUUCAACAUUUAAUUGUUUGAAAUAUGAAUUUUGGACUACUAUUGUUUAUUAGGAAAGUUUCACUUCAAUAAGAGAUUAAAAUUGUCAUCGCGAUCCUACAUGUGUGAAAUAUUUGCCUAGAAUUUGGUUAAAUGCAUGUUUUCAUGGUAUAUCUUCCAAAGAUCUGAUGACAACUUUUCUGGUUUCAGAUUUCAGAGGGUUUUGAAGAGGCCACACUUUAUUUUGAUUCAUUAGUAAAAAUAUGUAUUCUCUUAUGUUGGAAUCAAAGAAAUUGCAAUUGCUUUACGAAUGGAACUUUUUUUACCUCAAGCUGCUCAUGUAGCCUUCUUUGCACUUCAAUUUGCAUUUGUAAUGCUUCGCUCAAGGGUAAAUUUCUGAAUUUAAAAUAUUACAGUAUAGCAGUGUUAAUUGAUUAUAUUAUCAAAUCAAUAGCGUGAAUCGACAUAGUAAGAACAUGUAACAUAUUUUUGCAUUCUUACUUAUUUGUCUGGGCUACCAUGCUUGGAUUACUCAUGUGGGUUCUAUAUGUCCCGGACAUUCUUUCUCCCGUGACUGUAACCAUUAUCAAACUUAACAUACUUAUUUACUGAAGAACAGGUGUAGUCUGCAAAACUAUUUUCCUGGAAAUUAUUGGAUUUCUUACCUGCUUUAUUGCUCCCACUGUUAGCUUGUCCAUGGAGGUUCUUGCUGAGCCUGUAUUUCUGCCAUGCAAAUAAAAAGGUUUAGACUACUCUCUGUAUUUUUACCCAUGACGCACAUAUACAUAUGCAACCCACAUAUGCACAAUGCAACACUCUUGGUUUCCUAAAAUGAAAUGACAAUAAAUUAAGGCUUAUUCCAAUAAAUUUGAGGUGGCCACAUAAAUCCUUUAUCUGAAGUUCAUUUGAUUCAUUGCUAUACUCUAAUGCUCGGACUCUUCGAAAUAGUCAGAGUAUCCGUGUCAAACACGGGUAUGGGUAUAAAAUAUGUGUCAGAUACUUCAAAUUUCACACUUUGCCGUUUUUGCUUCUUCUCUCUUCUUUUUUUUCAUUUUCCUUUUCUUUCCCCUUUUUGCUCUCUAUAAACCUAAUGCUACCUCCGAGAGGAUGGAGAAAGCGACGGCACUAGGUUUUCUCUCCUUCUUCUUUCUUUUCUCUUUCCUUUUUCUUAUUUUUUCCCCUUCCUCCCCUUUCUAUAUUGGUGGAUUAGUGUUUUGUUUGUAUAAAAUGAAAAUGGAUUCCAUAUAAUGCUACUUAUUGUUUCAUUAAGUCUAAAUUGCAAUUAAGUCUCUCAUUUUUCUAUUUUAUAUAACAUUUAGUAAUUAACUUCUCAUAAUUGAAAACUAAAUCCAAAAUUCUAUUUUAUUCAUCUUGACCCCUUUUGAGUACUCAUUUCCUUCUUUGUGAAUAAUUAUUUUUGAUCUAUUCAAAAUAACAUCUUAAGUUAGUAAAAAAAUUAAAAAUUGAAAGAUGUACGCACGUACUCGUGUCCGAAAUUUGGACACUUUUUAGCCAUGUCCCCGCAUCCUACAUUUUAAAAAAUAAAAGAUCCAACACUUAGAUACGUACUCGUACCCGAUACCCAUACCCGAGUCCGAGCAUCAUAGUUGCUAUGUGUGGAGCAACUAGAUUUGGAGCAACUCCAACAUGUAAUGUUAGUUUUGGUCCACUCCUAACUUUUUUCAACGGAGAUCAAGUCACUCUUAUUAACGAAGUCAAUAUAUGUCCUAAUCAUCUAAUCGUCCUUCCCUUGUUUUAUCCUAAACGGAUGCUACCUUUACUUAUAGGCGCAUAUUUUCAUUUUUUAAUCUUAUCCAGUCUAGUAUUGCCUCACAUUAUCUUAGCAUUUUCAUUUCUGCUGCACUCAUCUCAUGGACAUCUUGUUUGUUAGCACUCGAUACGUAGUACUAAACCAGAUGUGAUAGUUUCACAUGGGUUGUUAAUCUACAACCACCUUUUUCCUUUAUGUAGGCUUGGGACCUUCAUGAAAACACUUGAAAAUGCUAAUAUAAUAUGAUCUAGAAAAUUCUAUGUAAGCUAUGAAUAAAAGUUUUCCAUAGUUUAUUACUGCAUUUUUUAGAUGAUAUUGUUUCAGCAUUAUUAAUGGUUUUCCUGAGUCAAAAGUAGGGAUAAUGAUGUUUUCAAAGAACUUGACUGCUUCUUUGAAAUGGUUAUAUAAAAACCUUAAGUUGCCCUAGAGUUGCUUAAGCUUAAAUAUGGUCAAACUGAAAGGCCUAUUUUCUCUUGUGCAGAACUCUAGUAUAGCUUUUUGGCAAUAAUAAUUUACCUGAAGGUGACUCUUUAAGUGGUACAAGGUUAAACCUUGAAUGCCCAUAAGUUUCAGAACUGAUUUUGGAGUAGCUUCUGCAACAAAGGAAUUGUAUGAAUUAGCUACAUACAGUAGCAGAUUACUUUAUUGGUGCUUCAUGAACUUGAUAUGAGGCAUGCACUUACUGUCUGCUCCACCUAGUUGAUUAACUGCUUCUAUGAAGCGCCGAUGGAGGUCAGGAGUCCAUUUUAGUCUUGGCUUUGCAUCAGUCGAAAGUACGAGUCCUGAAUCUCCAGUUCCAUUUGCACCUUGCAGGAAUAAGUGCCUUUCAGAAGGCAUGGACAUUCUUGACGUAGGAUGCAUGCUCUUUCCUUGAUGGUAAUAAUGAUACAUCUCGAUGUCUUCAAUAAGAUGAUUUAGAUAUAAGUGAGAUUCGUGCUAUGCUGAAAAGAUCUAAUGUGCCUGUUCCAAUCUGCUAUCACCCUUGAAUGUGAAAUACAAUUUUGCUAUAUUCUGUGUAGUGCAAUCUUGCAUUCCUCGUUGAAAGAAAACUAUCUACAACUGCUUUUAUCUAUUUUUUGUUUCCUGACGAAUUUUCAUGUACUAAAGCUGUGCUCAGGGAUGUCUUAUAAGCAAAUAAGGAGUGAGAGGUGGGUUGGGAAGCAUAGAAUCUUGAACAGGGCCAGCAGAACAUCAGAUCCAAUUCAAUCUUCACGCGACACAAAAAGAGAACUUGUCCUUCCAGUUUCACACAUAUGUGGGGUCCUCAUGUUCAACUUCCUUUUCCAUUCUCACACAACAGCAGUAGCCAUUUAAAUUUUCCUCUGGCCUUUGACUUAUUAAAAAAACUCGACGCUUUAGAUUUGAUAUAAGCAUAGAUUCACUUUAGACUUUAUUUCCUCUGUAUUCAUAUCCAUCACCAUGAACAGUUUAGGAACCUUAUUCUCCGAAUUAAUGGUGAAAUUUUAUUCUGAUGUGGAUUGGAGGAAUCCACUAUCUAUAAUGUGCUGAAACCUUGAAAGCCAUUUGUUCCAAGGAAGAUCCUGUUGACUGGAGCAUCAUUACACCACACAUACAUGGAAAAAAUGUGGGAAAUUAGUGAAAAUAUACUUCUUCUUGGGAGAGUUUGAUGGCCAGGUUUAGUUAAUAAGUGCAUUUCGUUUUUCAUUUUCCAAAUUUUUAUUUGGUUUAUUUACCGCUUUGGUGUGUAAUGAUUAAGUGAUGUGCAACGCUUUGAUUGUCCUCUGCAUUUGAUCUAUUGGUUGGCUUGUAACAAGAACAUAUGUUAGCCAUUUGAAGUGCACAAACUUGCCUCCAAUUUUUCCGCGCUUAUCUCUUUUCUUUUCUUUUUCCCCUUCACAUACACAAACAAAAGUGGGACCACUCCUUUUCAAUACAGGGUGGAGAUUCUUUCUGGUAGUGAUAGAAUUUAAGAGGACACCUGUUGUGUGCUUCAGUUCUUUCUGCUGUUUCUCAACUUCACACUCAGUGCAUGGCCACACACACCUAUUUAUCUUAAGAGGCAUGAUAUGUACACUUGUGCAUAUUUUUGGACAAAAUCUUAGCAUUUAUAUUUUAUUAUUGCUUUUUAGAAAAUAUUUUGAGCAAUGUUAAAUAUCUAACAUGUCAAAUGACCCAUAAAAAGGGGAAGAAUUGUUACUCCUUAGCUUUGUUUGAAGUCCUGGAAUGGCAUAAUGAAUAUAUUCCUUUUGUUUUCCUUCAAAAAGUAUAGCACUUAUUCCACGAAGUAUUAAAGAGAGGGGAGAUGUCCCAAUCAGAUUUUUAAAUUCUUUAAAUGGCAUAAAGAAGUUGGUUCCCAAUUUUUUGGGACCCUUGGAAAGGAAAAUAAAUAAUUGUACUUGCUUCUGUGCUUUCAUAUGAUAAAACACAUGUCAAGUCAGAACCAGAAGAUGAACACUUGUUUUCCCCUUGACUUGAGCUUAAUUGGCCUCGAAGAUACUUGGACAUGAAUCUACUAAUUUUCCUCACUCUGCAUUUUCUGAUCUUUGGGGUUAAUGGAUUUUAUUAAUAUGGAUAUACAUAUAACCUACAUUGAGUUGCUUCUUAAAUUAUUGUCUUUAUGAAUAGAGGUCAUGGAUUUUAUUAGCAUGGAUGUUUUUAGUUGCUUCUUAAAUUAUUGUCGUUAUGGAUAGGAUGUCACUAGCAUUUACAUUACGUUGCUUAAAAUCAAUUUCUGAAUACUAAAUUAACCUAUUGGUCCUACUCUUCCACGUGCAUGCUUAUUUUUGCCUAUUGCUAGAAACUUAUGAAAUAUGUUUAUCAUCCGCACAUUAACUAUGUUGAAUUCUUCAUGUCAUCUUUCGUUGCACAGCCAUGAUAAAUAAACCAAAUCUAUAACUAUGUUGCACUAUGUAUCUUAAUUUCGAGGCUUAAAUUAAGAAUUAUGCUUCAAUGCAUGUAUAUACUAAAACUCAACAUGAUCAACCACUAAAGGGGAAUAAAUUCACCUCAACCAAUAUUCAUGUUUUCAAACUCAUUACUAAUCCUCAACAGAGAAUGACUUAACCUGGUUAAUGAAAGAGACAACUAUUGACUUGUAACGUAUAAUGAUUUUAUGUAAGAUGACUAAGAAUAUAUAAGACUUAUCAUUUCUAAAUUAUUUUGUGAUCUGAUGAAGGAAAAUUCUUCUUCUCCCUUGAAAAAUGUAUGGGCAUUAGUUCCAUCUAGGUUUUGAGGAAAGAUUAUUUGAUUCUGAUACGUUUGGAUAUUUUAUGCAGUUUGGAGGAAUCUCUGGAAACCUUUAUGUAAAGUGAUAAAAAGCAGAAUUCCUCAAUAGUUUCGCUAGCGAAUGAACAGGAUUGAUUGCAGAUGGGAAAUGUUAUGAUGCUUCUCAAGCUGAAUCAUCAAAUGGGCAGUGAUGAGACUAGCUAGUACAUACAUCAUAUUAUCUGUAAGUAUAUUAAGGAUCCAGUAUUGACUUUUUAAGUUUCUCUCUCUGUUUAUGUAUGAACUGUGUAACAGGAGCAACGAUAAAUAUAGAAAAACUUGCACGUAUAUUGCUAAAAAACUCUCUUUUUGUUUUCUUUGUUGAAACUUCUUCAAAAUAAAUUAGUUUUAGUUCAAGUUAAACGGUAAAUAUUAGUUUUACCCUAAAAUGGGGAACUAAGAGAUCAAUAAGAUGAGUAUAAUAUUUAAUUAUCCACAAUGGAAAACCAAUUAUUUAACUUUCUAAGCAUUUGUCUUACUAAGGUAUGAAAAUCAUUUGCAGCUUGAGUGUGUAUGUAAGGAUAAUGGAAAGCACUGUCCGAGCCCAUACAUCCAUGUGUAUGCGCCUGGUCGAUCCGGUGCCAGUGAGGCAUUGAUGCUUUACGAGCACUCAGCUCACUUGUAUCCUAUAAAAAUCUGGACCACAACCAAUCUUAUUUACAUUAUGUUAAAGAUUCGUUGAUCCAACUAUAAUCUGAUUAAUAACGUGAUAUUUUGAGAUCAGAUAGCUGAAAGUGAGUGUUCCUUCAAUCAAAACUUAUUACAAUUAAAAGGCCAAAUUUGAGUUGUUGGAUUGUCUAGUCAAAUCAUUAAAUGAUUAAGAUUAAAAUUUCAGAAAGUUACGAAUGAAGUCUAUAUAUUUCUAGAAGUUUUCCAUGUUUUGACGCACCAUUAUGAUUCUUUCAUACCCCCUUUUCACUCUUUUGACAUACACAAACAAAAGUGGGACCACUCCUUUUCAAUACAGGGUGGAGAUUCUUUCUGGUAGUGAUAGAAUUUAAGAGGACACCUGUUGUGUGCUUCAGUUCUUUCUGCUGUUUCUCAACUUCACACUCAGUGCAUGGCCACACACACCUAUUUAUCUUAAGAGGCAUGAUAUGUACACUUGUGCAUAUUUUUGGACAAAAUCUUAGCAUUUAUAUUUUAUUAUUGCUUUUUAGAAAAUAUUUUGAGCAGUGUUAAAUAUCUAACAUGUCAAAUGACCCAUAAAAAGGGGAAGAAUUGUUACUCCUUAGCUUUGUUUGAAGUCCUGGAAUGGCAUAAUGAAUAUAUUCCUUUUGUUUUCCUUCAAAAAGUAUAGCACUUAUUCCACGAAGUAUUAAAGAGAGGGGAGAUGUCCCAAUCAGAUUUUUAAAUUCUUUAAAUGGCAUAAAGAAGUUGGUUCCCAAUUUUUUGGGACCCUUGGAAAGGAAAAUAAAUAAUUGUACUUGCUUCUGUGCUUUCAUAUGAUAAAACACAUGUCAAGUCAGAACCAGAAGAUGAACACUUGUUUUCCCCUUGACUUGAGCUUAAUUGGCCUCGAAGAUACUUGGACAUGAAUCUACUAAUUUUCCUCACUCUGCAUUUUCUGAUCUUUGGGGUUAAUGGAUUUUAUUAAUAUGGAUAUACAUAUAACCUACAUUGAGUUGCUUCUUAAAUUAUUGUCUUUAUGAAUAGAGGUCAUGGAUUUUAUUAGCAUGGAUGUUUUUAGUUGCUUCUUAAAUUAUUGUCGUUAUGGAUAGGAUGUCACUAGCAUUUACAUUACGUUGCUUAAAAUCAAUUUCUGAAUACUAAAUUAACCUAUUGGUCCUACUCUUCCACGUGCAUGCUUAUUUUUGCCUAUUGCUAGAAACUUAUGAAAUAUGUUUAUCAUCCGCACAUUAACUAUGUUGAAUUCUUCAUGUCAUCUUUCGUUGCACAGCCAUGAUAAAUAAACCAAAUCUAUAACUAUGUUGCACUAUGUAUCUUAAUUUCGAGGCUUAAAUUAAGAAUUAUGCUUCAAUGCAUGUAUAUACUAAAACUCAACAUGAUCAACCACUAAAGGGGAAUAAAUUCACCUCAACCAAUAUUCAUGUUUUCAAACUCAUUACUAAUCCUCAACAGAGAAUGACUUAACCCGGUUAAUGAAAGAGACAACUAUUGACUUGUAACGUAUAAUGAUUUUAUGUAAGAUGACUAAGAAUAUAUAAGACUUAUCAUUUCUAAAUUAUUUUGUGAUCUGAUGAAGGAAAAUUCUUCUUCUCCCUUGAAAAAUGUAUGGGCAUUAGUUCCAUCUAGGUUUUGAGGAAAGAUUAUUUGAUUCUGAUACGUUUGGAUAUUUUAUGCAGUUUGGAGGAAUCUCUGGAAACCUUUAUGUAAAGUGAUAAAAAGCAGAAUUCCUCAAUAGUUUCGCUAGCGAAUGAACAGGAUUGAUUGCAGAUGGGAAAUGUUAUGAUGCUUCUCAAGCUGAAUCAUCAAAUGGGCAGUGAUGAGACUAGCUAGUACAUACAUCAUAUUAUCUGUAAGUAUAUUAAGGAUCCAGUAUUGACUUUUUAAGUUUCUCUCUCUGUUUAUAUAUGAACUGUGUAACAGGAGCAACGAUAAAUAUAGAAAAACUUGCACGUAUAUUGCUAAAAAACUCUCUUUUUGUUUUCUUUGUUGAAACUUCUUCAAAAUAAAUUAGUUUUAGUUCAAGUUAAACGGUAAAUAUUAGUUUUACCCUAAAAUGGGGAACUAAGAGAUCAAUAAGAUGAGUAUAAUAUUUAAUUAUCCACAAUGGAAA
rnacentral:lncRNA from 1 species